GCGGUAAUAAUCAAAUGGUUGAUGCAUUGGCAGCCGGGAUGAGUGGGUUGACGUUUGAGGAUACUGGGGAUGAUGAUAAUUAUGAGUUUGGGAAGGGGAAUUUCACGGAGCAUGCUUGCAGGUAUUGUGGGGUUUCGAACCCGGCUUGCGUUGUGAGGUGUAACGUACCCUCGUGCCGUAAGUGGUUCUGCAAUUCGCGAGGGAAUACGUCUGGGUCGCAUAUUGUGAAUCAUCUGGUCCGGGCAAAGCAUAAGGAAGUUUGUCUUCACAAAGACAGUCCUCUGGGAGAAACAAUUCUCGAGUGUUACAAUUGUGGAUGCCGAAAUGUAUUCCUCCUUGGAUUUAUUUCUGCAAAGACAGAAAGUGUGGUUGUUCUACUCUGUAGGGAACCUUGCUUAAGUGUAAAUGCUCUUAAGGAUAUGAAUUGGGACUUGAGUCAGUGGUGCCCUCUAAUUGAUGAUAGGUGCUUCUU
rnacentral:misc_RNA from 1 species